rnacentral:rRNA from 1 species
AUACGGAGGGGGCUAGCGUUGUUCGGAUUUACUGGGCGUAAAGCGCGCGUAGGCGGUAUAUCAAGUUAGGCGUGAAAGCCCCGGGCUCAACCCGGUAACUGCGCUUAUUACUGAUAAACUAGAGUCCGGGAGAGGGUGGCGGAAUUCCCAGUGUAGAGGUGAAAUUCGUAGAUAUUGGGAAGAACACCAGUUGCGAAGGCGGCCACCUGGACCGGUACUGACGCUGAGGUGCGAAAGCGUGGGGAGCAAACAGGAUUAGAAACCCCAGUAGUCC